rnacentral:snRNA from 1 species
UGAUUCGAUCUGGGUCUGGCUGAGAUACCUGUAGUCCUAUUGGUUCAUCCAGAAGAUCUGAUGGCUAGGUGGGUGUCUCCUCUUUCCCUCGCUGCUCUGUUACAUUCUUCCUGAAGCUGUACCCUUCAUUAAAGAGAAGGAUUUCUCCUGAUAGAUGGAGAACAUUCUUUGGUUCGGGGUAUAACAGGAGCUGUACUUCUCCACCAAAACUUCAAAGCAAGUUCUCGAAGGGCUGUGUUGGUAACCAUGCCCUCCUGUAAAACCAUGCCCUCCUGUAAAACAGAGCAAUCGGUAUCUGCAAUACAGG